rnacentral:sRNA from 1 species
UGUAUGAAAUAGAUGAUUGGCAUGUAA